GGGGAUAUAGCUCAGCUGGGAGAGCGCGAUGCUGGCAGCCUCGAGGCCGUGGGUUCGAGUCCCACUAUCUCCA
rnacentral:tRNA from 1 species